rnacentral:rRNA from 1 species
UGCUGUCGAACGGUAAGGUCUCUUCGGAGAUACACGAGUGGCGCACGGGUGCGUAACGCGUAUGCAACCUACCUCUGACUGGGGAAUAGCCCCGAGAAAUCGGGAUUAAUGCCCCAUAACAACCGGGAAUCUCAUGUUUUCCGGUUAAAAGUUCCGACGGUUGGAGAUGGGCAUGCGUGACAUUAGCUAGUUGGUGAGGUAACGGCUCACCAAGGCUACGAUGUCUAGGGGUUCUGAGAGGAUACUCCCCCACACUGGUACUGAGACACGGACCAGACUCCUACGGGAGGCAGCAGUAAGGAAUAUUGGGCAAUGGACGAAAGUCUGACCCAGCCAUGCCGCGUGCAGGAUGACAGCCCUACGGGUUGUAAACUGCUUUUGUACGGAAAAAAACCCCUGGUCGAGCAUCAGGGCUGAUGGUACCGUGCGAAUAAGCAUCGGCUAACUCCGUGCCAGCAGCCGCGGUAAUACGGAGGAUGCAAGCGUUAUCCGGAUUCAUUGGGUUUAAAGGGUGCGCAGGCGGAGUAAUAAGUCAGUGGUGAAAUCCUACGGCUCAACUGUAGAACUGCCAUUGAUACUG